rnacentral:lncRNA from 1 species
UUUGGGUCCAUUAUUAAGUAAGAUAAGGGUUACUUGAACACAAGCAUUAUGAUACAACAAUGAUCAAUCUGAUAACAGAGAUGGCUACUAAGUGACUCACGGCAGGUAGAGUAUACUGUGGAUACACUAGACAAAGGGAUGAUUUAUAUCCUGGGCAGAAUGGAGUAGGACAGUGAAAGAUUUCGCCAACAUAUUCAGAAUAGCAUGCAAUUUAAAACUUAUUUUGAAGUUGGAAGAAGUGGCAAAAUGUGAAAAGCAAGAAGCAAGUAUUACCAGAGACACCUAUGAAAAAGAAAUCUUUCUGAAGAACAUUUUUAAAGUGCCAUAAUCUGUUCGCUCAUGGCCCAUAGUGUUGGUGAGGCCAACACUAUAGCUGCAAGCACUUACUUCAUUUAAGAAGUUUAUCGAGAGCUUUAUAAAUAAAUUCUGUUCUCCAUCUACUAUGCAAAUAAAACUGCUGUAUCUCAUUUUGUGUGUAAUAAAUGUGAAUGCAGAAAGCAACCUUGCUUAAUGAGAUAUCUUGCCCAGGUCAUAAUCUCUUUGGUAUUUGCCAUUCUCCAUC